GAACAAAAACCCAUUUCAUGUUUCUUCAUUUCUCUCGUGGCUUCUCUAAGUUUCUAGAGAAAUCUUUAUUCACUAAUGUUUUUCCAAAUUCUCCUAAACUAGAUUACCUACAAAGGAUUAAGAGCAAUUGAAACCCCCAAAAACCUAUUUUCCUUCUCUCUUAUAUCUUCUUCUCUGUUUUUCGUCAAUAUGAUUCUGCAAUUUUCUCUAACAUGCAAUCCAAAUUUGCUCCUUGUUUCUUCAUCAAAGUUGUAGAUCUCUUCGAGUUAUUGAAUUUAGGCACAAAAAUCGUCCAGUUCAGAGUUCGGAGCUAUGAGUUAUGCUCUUUACAAGUUUUGUGUUGCUGUUGAACUUUUUGACGCGUUGCUGCUGUAUGUUCUUUCGUGCUACGGUGCUGCUGCGUGUGUGUGUGAUUCAUGCAUAGUUGUUGUUGGUGCUUGCAACCAUCAUCUCCUUCAUUUUUUUUAUGGGGGUAUAAGUGGUUAUUGGAGAUUGAGUAUGAAUAAGGAGAUAUUGGACUCUCGAAGAUUUUUAUGGAGUCGAGUGCUAUUUAAAGAUGCGUAGAGAGUUCAUUGUUAGUGAUCUUGCAGGUUCGUGUGUGGAAAGCUCGGAAUGGAGUAAAAGGAAGAAUUUAGGUAUCAAGGUUAUAAUUAGAUGUAAUGGUUCAGAGGUUGUAUUUAGGGUUAUAUAACCUUAUUUGUGAAUAAAUUAUUAUAUUGCUUUAGAAGUCGAGCAAGGUAUUAUGUAAUAUGUUAUUUGGUUAUUGAGGAUUAUUUGUUGUGGGCCUGACCCACAGGUCCAGGAUCGUUCUAUAGGUUAUGUUUCCGCUGCAAGUGAAUAUAAUUCGAGGUUAUUAAGCGUUAA